rnacentral:lncRNA from 1 species
AUGCGGCCGGAGCUUGGCGGCGGGAGCAGCUGCUGCAGCUGGCAGGUGGGGUGGGGGCCGGUGGAGCUGACCACGUACCGGCCCGGCGCGGUGGCACUGCGGCCCCGGGGCAGUGGGCGCUGGGGACAUGCGCUGACUUGAUCCGGAGAAGUGGGAAAGGGAGCAACAACUGGAAUUGAAAUGUUAAUCAGCCAAGUGCCUGAGAUUGGAGGAGCGGUGUUACUGGGCAAACAAAGAAGGCGGUCAGCCUUUAUACUCUUUAAAGAUAAUCAACCAUUGCAAAGCCAGACUCGCUUAGACAUUGAAGAGGAUUCAAAAUGUAAAAUAAUUUUUGAGCUGCACAUUUACGCUGCUACCUUCAACCUUCACUUGGUUAAUUUCUGCUUUGGGAGCAGCAGGUCCUUGGCAGCAGCCUGGAGAAGUAAUCAGGAAUCUUCCUUCUUCUUCCUCCUUCCUCUACCCUCUCCCUUUCCAGUUAUCAGAAUGGGGUUGUGCACAUUUCAAUGUCAAACAGCCACUUCAAUGGAACCUUUAGAAGGAGUCUCACAUUAGAGGAGAAACUUAUCUCUUGGAGUUCAGCUUGGGUUAGCAGCACUUGUCUCUACUUCUCCUUUCAAUUUACCAUCUUCUCUUGUCAAUCAUGUCAUUGAUUACCCCCCCUCCCAUGCUGUGCCCCUUCCCACGCCACUCUUUUCAGCUCCUGUCCACCACCUCUGUUCCAUGACUGAUUUUGUCAAGGACCCAGAAAGGGCAUUGCUCUUCACCGCGUUUGAGCUGUUACCUGUGUCCGUCACCCUAAUACAUGGUAUGAAAAAUCCUUUAAGCCUAUUACCGAUAUGGUUUCUGAUAACUCCAUUGUAGCGCCUGUGGCUACUGGCCAGCUUUCGAGGACAGCAGAAACUGUUGGGGUGUGAGAAAGCGGUCCAUACCUACGUAUUUUGCUCCCUGUGCAUGGGAGUAGGUGGAAGUAGAAAUGUGAGUGUCAGUCUAUCCAGUAUUUACUUGGAUCUUUUUAAAUCCAUCUGGGUUGUGAGAUAUCUAGCUUGGUAGAGUAUGAGGCAAGCCCUCCCUCAAAAGCAAGCAGUGCAUUUGUCCUAGGAUUCCUCAAUAACCUCCAAAGAGUUUCCAGAGAGGCUUUCCCCACAGGCAGUCAGAAAGCCAGGGGAGCUGGCCCAAUUUAAACUUCAGGAUAUUUGAGCAUCCUCAAGUUAGUCUCCCCUUUUAAGGGUUCUAACCUAGGAUUUCCCCACACAAGUGCCUUGCUGCCAAGCUCCUGCCUCUUCCUGUUGCCCACGGAGGGAUGUACAUGUGAAUGUUAUUCUGUGAAAUGGUUAAGAUGGCUGUGGUGGGGAUUGCAAAUGUGCCACUUCACCAACGGAGAACAGUUGCAAUAAGCCAGACUGUGUGGUGUUCUGUGUGCCACCAUUCUAUUUAAAAGGAGAUUUGUUAUCUUUACAUUUGCAAUGAAAGAGUCAAUUGGACUCAAAAGCUGAGCAGUUUUAUUUUAGCAAAUUGAAAUAGGAAAUCAGUGGAAAAGCGGGGCAGGGUUUAUAGCGAAAAAUAUUAGCUCUGCUUUUUUAAAUAUUGUUUUUAGACGAAGAUAUUGGUUCUGCAAAAUCAUGUUCAUUCUAUUAUACAUCAUUAUUGGCUUUUGGUGAUAAAUUCUCAAUUUAUAAAUACACUUUGAAAAGACUGGAAUUGGUUUCUUUGUCUCUACCGUCAGUAUUUGGGGCAGAAGGAGUGGAGGGAGUGGGCAAAUCCUAUUCCAAGUGGCCCAUUCCAGGAACUGUUUUCCUGGACCAUGAAAACCUCUGGGUCAAAAUUUUUUUUUUUUUUUUGGCUUGUUUUUGUUGUUAUUAUUAUCUGUUGAAUGUAGUUUGUGUUUGAAAUGUUAAAUUUCAGAAUUCCAAAAAUUUGACUCUGGCACACCAACUAGGGGAACAAAGGAGAACAGCAAAACCCUUUAUUCUACCACCUUUCUGGCCUAAUCAUAAAAUAUUCAACCAUAGGAAUAAUUAUUCUGAUAAUAAGUGAGAGUGAGAAACAUGUUAAAAUAAUAAUUCAUUUUUAAGAAAGUAGCCCAAAGUAUGUGACAUACAGCAUACAGAUUAGUGCAACUGACCUUAAGUACUAUAAGAAUUUCUGUAAUUUUAAAAACUGUCUUUAUACUGAAGUAUAAGACAUGAAUAUAUCCUAAUGAUGGUAAGAAAUUGACAGCGUCUAUUACUUGGUUUCUGGAAAAACUGAAUUCUUUGAUAGGAAAUGGGUCAGGAUUAGGAGAUUGGUGCUGCCUAAGCUGGUGUCAUAACUGCCAGUGAUUUUACAGGUGAGGAUGCAUGAAGUUAUGGAUGAGGGUUGGAGAAGCCUUUUUGGGAAGAAAGAAAACAAGAUAGAAAAUUUAAUUUCUUGUUUCAGUACAACUGAAUAUGAUAAUUAAAUUUAAAGGAUUUCUGCAUCUGGGCUUUAUUAUAUUUAAACAAUUUCUGAGGCAAGUUUCUAAAUUCAGAGUCCUAGGAAGAAAUAUGUGUAUGAUUUCCCGACUAAAACUGAUUUAUGACUUUAUUUCCCUUUUUAAAAAAAAAAAAAAUUACCAGAGAAAGGAAACAUUAAUUGCCUAGUGUUAAGAAAUGGAGGAGGAAUACAAAAUAGGAAGAUGUGCACUAUUAGAUGCUAAAUGAACUGUAGGAACUUUUUGUAGUUUUGACAAGAUAGAAUAGAAGUCAGUCUGUUGCUGGAGUUUUCCUGUGGUGCAGCGGGUUAAGGAUGAGGAUCCAGCAUUGUCAGUGGAUGGACAGUGGGUCACUGCUGUGGUGUGAUUUUCAUCCCUGGCCCAGGAACUCUCCAAUGCCAUAGACAAGGCCAACAAACAAGCAAACAAAUGAAAAAAGAAAUCAAUAUGUUGCUUUCUAAUCACAUAAAAAUUUACUCCAGUGGUGGUCAGUAUUAUCAGUAAAUUGAGUACAUAUUUAGGAAUCAAAGUUGCCCUCUCCUAACAAAAGUCAUUUUCUGGUUUUUCAUUACUGUCAUUAGCUACAAUUGAAAUAGCCUUAUCCUGAGAUUUUGAAAGAUGGAAAAAGAAAAGUAGGGUUAAUAAGGCGGAAGCAGAGUUGUCAUUUGUAUUUCGCCAUUGCCUCCAUUGAGAAUGGGUAGAAAUAGUGCUAUUUUUAAAGUAGUCAAUGGCCUCUGCCAGAUUUCUUUACUGUUUCACCAUGUUCAUUAUGUCUUUAUUUUUAAGUUCUCUCCUAUGUUCUUUUAAAAACUUUACUGAUUAGUGUUUCAUUCACUAAAAUAACAUUUCUAUUUAUCUUUUUUUGUUACUCAGUGAAUUUUUAUUACAUUUAUAGUUGUACAACGAUCAUCACAACCAAAUUUUAUAGCAUUUCCAUCCCAAACGUUCAAUGCAUCCCCCACCCCCCAAUCUGUCUCACUUGGAAACCAUAAGUUUUUCAAAGUCUGUGAGUCAGUAUCUGCUUUGCAGAGUUCAUUGUGUCCUUUUUUUAGAUUCCACAUGUAAGUGUAAAAUAAUAUUUUUAACUUAAAAUAUCAUUGAUGUGUAAUAUAUAUUACCAGUGUACAAUAUAGUUACAAUUUUUAAAGGUUAUAUUCUGUUCGUGGUUAUUAUAAAUUAUGACUAUAUUCCUUAUGUUGUGCAAUAUAUCCUCAUAGCUUAUUAUAUACAAAACAGUUUGUACCUCCUAAUCUUCUACCCCAUAUUGUUCUUUUUUAAAUGCUUAUGCUUAAAAUAUUAUUAAUAAGUAAUAUAUAUGAGGCACUGAAAUAUCUCAUUAUCUAGUUUCUCAUUAUCCCUUUAAAUUACCCCAUGACCAGCCAAAACCAAGUGGUAUUUAUUUCCAGUUUACUCGCCAUAAUAUCAUUAAUUUGUUUCUUUCACUCAUCCUGCUUGCUACAUGUUGAAACCUUGCUCACAUCAGACACUGCCUCUUCUGUAAAGCCUUCCCCACAUCCACCUUCCUUUUCCUGUCAGAUGUGUUUCUCCCUUGUCUAAAUUCCUAUGACACUUUCUAUUUUGGUCUCUCUUUUUGUGAGAACACGAUUUGCUCUUCUAAAAUAGCCCUAUAGAACAGAGUCUGUAACUAACAACUUUUUAUUACUUGCAACCCAUAGUACGGUGCCUAGCUAUGGAUGUGCAAAGUAGCUGCUUUGCAAUUUGAUUUUAGUGAAAAAAUUAGUUGUUGUUUCCCAGGGGUCUUUGUCUACCUAUACUCCCAGCAAGUUAGGCUCUAAAUAUGUGUGCAAGUUGGUUUUAGUUGUUUAAAAUUCUUAUAUAAUAAUAAAUAUAGUGAAAGUACAUUCAAAUAGUUAUAUUCAACAAAAGUUAUUGUGAGCUUGGAGUUCCUGUCGUGGUUCAGUGGUUAACGAAUCCAACUAGGAACCACAAGGUUGCGGGUUCGAUCCCUGGCCUUGCUCAGUGGGUUGGGGAUCCGGCACUGCCAUGAGCUGUGGUGGAGGUUGCAGACGCAGCUCGGAUCCCGUGCUGCUGUAAGCUCUGGCAUAGGCCGGUGGCUACAGCUCGGAUUAGACCCCUAGCCUGGGAACCUCUAUAUGCCACAGGAGC